GAGGCAGACGUGAUUAGGUUUUCUGAUGCCUCCUCCUCAUGACCUUGUUCGACGCAUUCAGAUCCACCGAGAGCCGGAAGGUCUCCGCUUGAAGCUGUUGAGCACGAACGUCUAAAGUCGCCCGCUCUGCUGCCAUCCUGACUUCCUCUGCGGCUAGAUUUUUCUUAGCUUGCAUCAUCUCUUCAUGACGGUAGUCUAGGUCGUUCGGAAAACCUGAGCCGUGGCGACACGAGAAACCAGAUUUCUGCGGCGGCUUGUGCUUCCUCUGGCGGCGGAGCAAUGGAAGCCGACGGGUUGGAGUUCCCGGCAGAUCCCGUGGACCGGUGAGUUUCCCUUUCGCGAUGUUCGUCUUUCGAUUGCUUGUUUGCCUUGGGGGCUGGAUUUUCGGUCCACGAUUUUGGUGACCGCCCACCACCAUCGCCGGUGACCACGCUGCGACUCGCGGGUUUCCUACAAGAUCCGGUUGCGGACAGUCUAGAACAUCCAGAUCCGGUCUCCUUUGUGCUGCUGCUGCCCCGUGAUGCCCAUCCGGCUAUGCCGCCUGAUUCCACUGUCGGGCCAGGCUCCGCUCGGCAUGAAUGUGGCCGCAGCCCCGUUAGGCCGGGAGGGGAACGCCGGGGAAAAAGAAUGCUUCUCUGACUACACACAAUCCAAUAGGAGGGAGAACCAUGAAGCACCUGGGUGAACGAAAAGGUUGCGGAUGGGCACUGCACCACCAGACAGAACUCUGUGUGCCUCAAGAAUGAGUGCACUGGAAUAAUCUAUUCCCAAAUUCGCCAAGGCUUCUAUGAAGUGUGUGAUCAAACUAGAACUUGGAUUGAGUUUCGACUCCCUUGGUGAGGCAUACGACUUCUACAACUUGUACUUGUGGGAGGUUGGCUUUGGGAUAUGGUAUGGUAACAGACAAUUAAACGCCGAUAGGACUAAGUCCAUGCAAGAAAUUGUUUUGCGGCGGUUCAAUGAGCACUGCUUGCUCCUCUGCUAUUUACCUGUAUGACAGUUCUGAAUGUGUGACUGAGUUGCGUGGGUUGUGUACUUUAAAUUUUGUUGACUAAAGAACUGGAGGACCAAUUUCUGGAUGUGGCAUCAAUGGGCGGAUUACAUACAUGCAGACGGUGGUGGGGGCGGCAAGUCGGAUACUUUAGAUGAACUUGGAGUGUUAAAGCAGCAGUAGGUCUGGAAUGAUAAUCUGUUGUUUAUCGAAUAUGCAGGUAUGCUCGUAAUCGGCACUACAGUGGGUGGAGAAAAUUCAGAAGAUGAGACCCCAAACAAUAGGGGAUUGUUGCUAGGAGGUCGAACAUGCGAUCAUGAAGCUCAGGCGGCAGCAAGCCGUGAAGUUGUUCUAAGUAUGAGGUUGAAAACUUGUGCCAUGUUUACAGAUGUAGUGCCAUACUGUCCAGCUGAGCAACCAUCGCAGACUAAUGAUGAGCGGGUGAGUAAGUACAAGGAAAUGUAUUAUGCUGCCGGCCGUCAGUUGUCGGUAUACUGACAUGAUGGUAAAAUGCAAGUAAUGCUGAUGGUGGAACAAGGGUUGGCGCUGGUACUGAGGCUGCACAAGUUGAAUGUUCAACAUCACUGGCAAGGGACAUGGUUAGGGAUCAUGGUCUUGCCACAGGGUUGUGUGGCCAGCCUGGGAUUGCUGAGUACAUGGAGAAGUGCAGAAUUCCGUACAAGGUCAUUUCCAAAGGAAGGGAGCAGGAUAGGGUGAGUGGUGCUGGGAAUCCGCCAGGUGAUCCGGCGGUGAAGAGUGAGUGGGGAGAGAAGUUCCGUCAUUCCGUCGGACUAAACCAUGACCAGCUCUCGCUUCAGGAUGUUCUUCGGUUCUAUGACAACAUGCUGGGCUGUUCUAGGGAACUGCGGAAGAAAUGGUUUAGGUACUUCAAUCCGUUUGCGGUGCUGAUGUCCAAGCAAGACCUGAAGGAUGAACUAGGACUUGGUGGUGAGUUAUCAAUGACUGGCUGGAGGUGCAUCCAUGGCAUGAUAAGUGCCAAGAAAUGAAGAUGUAUCGCAGGUGGCUCGAUAGAUGGAGAGGGGUUUUCGAUCCAUGCUUCGUGAUGGUAAUUACAUCCAACCUUGGUUAAUUCCGUCCUGCUACACAUUCAUGCAUGGAACAGUAAUUAUAACUUCCAAAAUGUUGCGCAAUAUAUACAGUUCAUCCCCCUUGUUCCACUGGAGGAAGGAUGGUUGCCGCUAAUGUGGGACAUGAUGUCGAAGAAGUUGCCGAUGACACGGCAUUACGACGGCAUAAAACUGAAGCUUCCCCUGACGAAGCACAAUAUGAACAAGCUUAAGAGACAAGCCCUCCACGAGUGUCUGAAGUUACAAGGAAACACAUCCACGCUGGCGCACAAGGCAUUGUGGGCAGUCGUAGCACCUAGUGACUCUUGCUUCAGAAAAAAAAACUUCUGCGAGAGAGCCGUCCUGGAAGUAGGCGAUUCUCUUGUGCGCCUUACCUAAUGUACUAUCUUAGGCAUUACUACGAUCUCCGCUGACCAUCAUUUUGAAGAUGUAUGAAUCAUUUCAGCAUAGUAUAUGGCGUUUCGCUCACUUUGUAGCUUGUUUCUUAGAUCCAUGUAAGGAGCAAUCAUUGUUUUACAUUCAUCCUUCAGUGUAGUCUGUAUGAAUGUCAGCUUGGGAUAGCCUAAACUCUUUGGCCA